rnacentral:rRNA from 1 species
UGAGGAAUAUUGGUCAAUGGUCGAGAGACUGAACCAGCCAAGUCGCGUGAAGGAUGACUGCCCUAUGGGUUGUAAACUCCUUUUACAAGGGAAUAAAAUGAGAUACGUGUAUUUUAUUGCAUGUACCUUGGGAAUAAGCAUCGGCUAACUCCGUGCCAGCAGCCGCGGUAAUACGGAGGAUGCGAGCGUUAUCCGGAUUUAUUGGGUUUAAAGGGUGCGUAGGUGGGCUGUUAAGUCAGCGGUGAAAGUUUGUCGCUUAACGAUAAAAUUGCCGUUGAAACUGGUAGUCUUGAGUAUAGAUGAAGAAGGCGGAAUGCGUGGUGUAGCGGUGAAAUGCAUAGAGAUCACGCAGAACUCCGAUUGCGAAGGCAGCUUACUAAGGUAUAACUGACACUGAAGCACGAAAGCGUGGGUAUCAAACAGG